AGAGUUUGAUCAUGGCUCAGAGCGAACGCUGGCGGCAGGCUUAACACAUGCAAGUCGAGCGGGCGUAGCAAUACGUCAGCGGCAGACGGGUGAGUAACGCGUGGGAACGUACCUUUUGGUUCGGAACAACACAGGGAAACUUGUGCUAAUACCGAAUAAGCCCUUACGGGGAAAGAUUUAUCGCCGAAAGAUCGGCCCGCGUCUGAUUAGCUAGUUGGUGGGGUAACGGCCCACCAAGGCGACGAUCAGUAGCUGGUCUGAGAGGAUGAUCAGCCACAUUGGGACUGAGACACGGCCCAAACUCCUACGGGAGGCAGCAGUGGGGAAUAUUGGACAAUGGGCGCAAGCCUGAUCCAGCCAUGCCGCGUGAGUGAUGAAGGCCCUAGGGUUGUAAAGCUCUUUUGUGCGGGAAGAUAAUGACGGUACCGCAAGAAUAAGCCCCGGCUAACUUCGUGCCAGCAGCCGCGGUAAUACGAAGGGGGCUAGCGUUGCUCGGAAUCACUGGGCGUAAAGGGUGCGUAGGCGGGUCUUUAAGUCAGGGGUGAAAUCCUGGAGCUCAACUCCAGAACUGCCUUUGAUACUGAGGAUCUUGAGUUCGGGAGAGGUGAGUGGAACUGCGAGUGUAGAGGUGAAAUUCGUAGAUAUUCGCAAGAACACCAGUGGCGAAGGCGGCUCACUGGCCCGAUACUGACGCUGAGGCACGAAAGCGUGGGGAGCAAACAGGAUUAGAUACCCUAGUAGUCC
rnacentral:rRNA from 1 species